CCAUCCGUAGGCACUUGCCAAACAAGGAGUUUCUCUUAUUUCCAUCCAUCAGCAUCCUGCCUUUUCUUCAAGGCUCAUCUCAAAAUGCCACUUCUACCCGGAAGUCUUCCUGGGUUCUCCUAACCAGGUUCCCUUUCCCCGGUUUGCCACGCCCACUGUAUGCUGGCUCACGAAUUCCACUACUAGUGCUGGGAAAACACCAGUUCAAAGCAUAUACUCAGAAGCUAUGAAAAAUGUGUUUUCUUCACACCAGGAGCAAGGACCAGGGUCAAGAUAAAAGCCUACUCCUUGAUCAACUUGGACCAUUGCUGGAGAGAUUUUAAUUAAUCGUAUGGAAAAUAUUCAAGGGGCUUAGGAAAGCUGGGGAAGGUGGAGGCAGAUGUAAGGUAGGCAAAGCAGCUGCCGGAAACAAGGCUUUCUUCCUGUAACUGUAUCCCCCGGGACUGCAGGAACAGCCUGAACGGGAGGCUACAGCCCGGUAAUGAAGACGUGAACCGCUGAAAUGCCGUGUCAGAUGGCGGCGGUGACAUCUGAAAGCCGUAAUUUGCUGCUCGGCAUAUUUUUGCUCCAGGUACCAGAGCCUGCACAAACGCUGUCGUGUCUCUCCAAGGCAGCCGCUCUGCUCUCCAGCCUGGCUCUGGGCCAGGUGGUCUUGGCCUUGCCAACAGGUUUCUUUGGUGGAGAGCUCGGGAAGUCUUUGCUUGGAUCGUCUGACCGUGCAGAAACCGGGGAGUAGCGUGAGGUUAAAAGCACACCUUAUUCCCCAGAGGGCGCGUCUCUUGAACCUUCCAUAUCCCCUCGCCCCAAUCUAAGUGACCAGGCUGACUUCUUAAAGUGUGACCUAUAAAGGGUCAAAAUAAUUUUAGCCAUGCCAGGACUGGAGGGCUCCUCAAAAGGAGAGCUUACAAGCAAGGCACUGAAGCUCAGAUCUGUUCAGAGCAACUCGCCCUUCUUUCAAUCUGCGGCUUCUCCACCCCUUUCUUUCUCUCCUGGUUGAUACCUUCCCAGAACCUCAGCCAGGCAGACAAGCAAUUCCUGUGAGUACUGGCCUUCAAAUGAAAGGUUGUCCUUUGAUCCCUCACUGGCUACCUGGCACUUCGGUGGACUCAGUGCCCGAGUUCAAGCCUCUGUGAGUAAGGGGAGAGGGAUCCCCACAAGCACACUCAGGCUAUGCUUAAACCACAGGAACUGGGAGAUUCAAGGUCUGGGCAGAGAGUGAGGCCUUUCACAGCUUAAUCCUCCCCGCUGCGCCUCAGCUCUGCAAGCAGCCUACGUCUGUUGACCCGCUGCUCUGGAUGGCCUUCCUGCCAGGCUCACUGGUGGGCGGAGAGGAUGAAGUGACCGCGAACAACAGGAGUCUCAGCUCCUGGCCUGAGUCCCUGAAAACACAGGCUGCAAAGCAGGUUUAACAGCCUCC
rnacentral:sRNA from 1 species